AACGCGAAGAACCUUACCCGGGCUUGAACUACGGAUGGUAAGUCCCAAGAAACUGGGGCUGACCCGCAAGGGAGUCCGCAGAGGUGCUGCAUGGUUGUCGUCAGCUCGUGUCGUGAGAUGUUGGGUUAAGUCCCGCAACGAGCGCAACCCCUAUUCGAUGUUGCUAAUCCCGCAAGGGAUGCACUCUUCGAAAACUGCCUUCGAUAAGAAGGAGGAAGGUGGGGAUGACGUCAAAUCCUCAUGGCCCUUAUGUCCGGGGCUACACACGUGUUACAAUGGCCGGUACAAUGGGAAGCAAUACCGCAAGGUGGAGCCAAACCCACAAAGCCGGCCCCAGUUCAGAUUGUGGGCUGCAACUCGCCCACAUGAAGGCGGAAUCGCUAGUAAUCGCUGAUCAGCAGGCAGCGGUGAAUACGUUCCCGGGCCUUGUACACACCGUAGUAC
rnacentral:rRNA from 1 species